rnacentral:rRNA from 1 species
AUUGAACGCUGGCGGCAGGCCUAACACAUGCAAGUCGAACGGUAACAGGAAGAAGCUUGCUUCUUUGCUGACGAGUGGCGGACGGGUGAGUAAUGUCUGGGAAACUGCCUGAUGGAGGGGGAUAACUACUGGAAACGGUAGCUAAUACCGCAUAACGUCGCAAGACCAAAGAGGGGGACCUUCGGGCCUCUUGCCAUCGGAUGUGCCCAGAUGGGAUUAGCUAGUAGGUGGGGUAACGGCUCACCUAGGCGACGAUCCCUAGCUGGUCUGAGAGGAUGACCCGCCCCACCGGGAACUGAGCCCCGGCCCAAACCCCUAGGGGGGGCAGGAGGGGGGAAUAUUGCAAAAUGGGGGCAAGCCUGAGGCAGCCAGGCCGGGGGUAGGAAGAAGGCCUGCGGGUUGAAAAGUCUUUUCGGCGGGGGGAAGGGGAGAAAAUUUAAUCCCUUUCCUCAUUAAGGUUACCCGAAAAAGAAGCACCGGCAAACCCCGG